GCGGGAGUAGCUCAGUUGGCAGAGCGAGUGCCUUCCAAGCACUAGGUCGCCGGUUCGAGACCGGUCUCCCGCUCCA
rnacentral:tRNA from 1 species